GGAGGUUAGGAAGCUCAGGGUAAUUGACUGAAAAUCCCCGUGUCGGCAGUUCGAUUCUGUCCCUCGGCACCA
rnacentral:tRNA from 1 species